rnacentral:piRNA from 1 species
UAGACCCCGAGCCGCUUCUUGCCGUC